rnacentral:rRNA from 1 species
GAUGAACGCUGGCGGCGUGCCUAAUACAUGCAAGUCGAGCGAACAGACGAGGAGCUUGCUCCUCUGACGUUAGCGGCGGACGGGUGAGUAACACGUGGAUAACCUACCUAUAAGACUAGGAUAACUUCGGGAAACCGGAGCUAAUACCGGAUAACAUGUUGAACCGCAUGGUUCAACAGUGAAAGACGGUCUUGCUGUCACUUAUAGAUGGAUCCGCGCCGCAUUAGCUAGUUGGUAAGGUAACGGCUUACCAAGGCAACGAUGCGUAGCCGACCUGAGAGGGUGAUCGGCCACACUGGAACUGAGACACGGUCCAGACUCCUACGGGAGGCAGCAGUAGGGAAUCUUCCGCAAUGGGCGAAAGCCUGACGGGGCAACGCCGCGUGAGUGAAGAAGGUCUUCGGAUCGUAAAACUCUGUUAUUAGGGAAGAACAAAUGUGUAAGUAACUAUGCACGUCUUGACGGUACCUAAUCAGAAAGCCACGGCUAACUACGUG